CCUACGGGUGGCAGCAGUAAGGGAUAUUGGUCAAUGGAGGAAACUCUGAACCAGCCAUCCCGCGUGAAGGAUGAAGGGGCUCUGCCUUGUAAACUUCUUUUGUCUGGGGCGAAAAAGCUCGAUUUAUCGAGAACUGACGGUACCAGAAGAAUAAGCACCGGCUAACUCCGUGCCAGCAGCCGCGGUAGUACGGAGGGUGCAAGCGUUAUCCGGAAUCACUGGGUUUAAGGGGUGCUUGUACGUCAGUGGAGAAAGGCUGGGGCUUAACCAUGGAAUUGCCAUUGAUACUGCAGAGCUGGAAUGAGGUUGAGGUUGGCGGAAUGUGACAUGUAGCGGUGAAAUGCUUAGAUAUGUCAUGGAACACUGAUUGCGAAGGCAGCUGACUGGACCUAUAUUGACGCUGAGGCACGAAAGCGUGGGGAGCGAACAGGAUUAGAUACCCUAGUAGUC
rnacentral:rRNA from 1 species